rnacentral:rRNA from 1 species
GACGAACGCUGGCGGCGUGCCUAAUACAUGCAAGUCGAGCGAAUCAAAGGGAGCUUGCUCCCUGAGAUUAGCGGCGGACGGGUGAGUAACACGUGGGCAACCUGCCUAUAAGACUGGGAUAACUUCGGGAAACCGGAGCUAAUACCGGAUAAUGUUUUUUGACUCAUGUCGAGAAACUGAAAGGUGGCUUCGGCUAUCACUUAUAGAUGGGCCCGCGGCGCAUUAGCUAGUUGGUGAGGUAACGGCUCACCAAGGCGACGAUGCGUAGCCGACCUGAGAGGGUGAUCGGCCACACUGGGACUGAGACACGGCCCAGACUCCUACGGGAGGCAGCAGUAGGGAAUCUUCCGCAAUGGACGAAAGUCUGACGGAGCAACGCCGCGUGAGUGAUGAAGGUUUUCGGAUCGUAAAACUCUGUUGUUAGGGAAGAACAAGUACCGUUCGAAUAGGGCGGUACCUUGACGGUACCUAACCAGAAAGCCACGGCUAACUACGUGCCAGCCGCCGCCGUAAGAC